rnacentral:lncRNA from 1 species
ACCUUCCCUCAGGGAUCUAAACCAAUUUUCUCACCAUUGCUAAAUGCUGAACUUCCCCUGUACCCUCACAGACUAAUCACUGCAUUUAUUCAUGUAAUUCAUUUUGGCUGGAUGAUCUCCAUCUUGAUACAAUAAUGGCUGGAAUGCCUUUUCCCCCUCCUGAAGGCUGUUUUCUGCUGAACAGGUAUUUGUCCCAAACAAGAGGCACAUGAGUAAGUAAGCCUUUAGGGCAA